CCACAGCAGAUCGAUCUUCGCCGCCAACCAGAUCUUCGCACGCCCGAUCCACCCCUACGCCCCCUCUGCGGCCGAUCCAUCCCUGUGCCGCGGCCGAUCGAAACCUUCGUCGUCGCGCUUGCAGGAGGCGGCUAUCGAAACCAGGCGACUGAAUAGUCUACCCUCCCCUCCCUUCGCAUGAACGGGCUAGGGUAGCCCAGUCCAGCGGCCACGAUUCCUAUCCUGUGCACGCCGCCGCCGUCCGCCCGUCCCCAUCCCGCCACGCCUCCGCCGUCCGCCCGUCCAUCCCGAUCUCGCUCCCACGCCGCCGCCGUCCGUCCGCUUGUCCCCAUCCCGCCCCCACACCGCCGCACCUCUGCUUCAUCUUGGUAGCGUGUCCAUGUCACGAACUGACGACCCCGUCAUCUCCGACGACGGAUUUGGCCCUCGGCGAGGAGGCCGAGUCUCCUACUCCGGCCGCGGCCAUCACAACCUGGGAUCUAGCGCUUAUGGCCGCCCAUGCAUCAGUGUGCUUCCCCCGAUUGUCGGCAAUGUGUGCCACUAUCCCACCACGACAGCAGGGAGCAUGGGGAAUUGCCGAAUUGGGGACCACGCCAUGACGGGUUGUGCGGCGAGAGCAUGAGGAGCGGGUCACUCUGGCCUGCUAGAAGAGGAAGGUUUCGUCCGCCACCAGCGAGUGCGCUCGGUGGCACCAGUGGCAAUGGAAACGGCGGGCUGGGGACCGGACGGUAACGGAGGGCUGGAACUGGACUACCUCGAGGAAAUCCAUUGGUGAUCUUCGACUCUCCAUCAUAUCCAAGCUUGUUGCCCUCCUUCUCCUCCUCCCUCCAGAUGCAAUGGGAUCCACUCUUCUCGUGUUCUUCAUAAGGCUUUGGGGAUUGGGUCUACCUUGCAAUAAUGGAAGCCGAGGGAUUUGGUUGGAGAUAACUCACGAGAUAAGGAUAGCACUGAAAUUGUUGCAAUUCAGGAGCAAGAGGAACUCGCAGGCUGGGCAGCUGGCAGGACUUGGUCUUCACCAAGGCCUGUUACAUACUUGGCAUGGUCUGGUUCUAUUCCCUUGGUAGCUGGAAGGGCGUCAUGGCAUUGCCUGCGCUGGUGGUGGUCGAUGAGAUUAUCACAAAUGGAGAAGUUUAUCUGAACCAUUAUGUAAACAAUGCAGCAUGGACUUAUUGUAGAACUGAGAUGAGAAAAUGAAAAUCAGCAGCAGUGAACGACUGAUGUCAAUUUUGACUCCUUCAGAUGAUUCCUUCGACUGCUGCUGCUGCUUCAGGUGAUUGAUCACUGUGGUAAUUCACUUCUUGUGUCAAACUUCAAACGCAAUAGGGGGCUGGAGGGAGGCAACAAAAUUCCUGUCAAUUAGUAGGUGUUUUUAUGUGCGUGCCUUCAGUUGUUCAGGUAGCUGCAUUCCAGUCGUGUGGUUCUUUAAGGCAUUUGAAUCUAACAAUGUUUCUUUGUCUAUGAGCUGAAUGCCUGUGGACCUAUGAGAUCCAAUUCAUGCCGGUUGCGUACUCAGUGCAUACCUAUAAUCCUGUAGCUCAAUGGUCUUUGAUAAAAUAUUAUUCCUGUAACUGGUAGCAGCAAACAAGGUCGUUAAAGAUUUGAUCGGAAUAUAUAUGGCAGUGAAUAAAUAUUGAUAGUUGGUCGAAAUAAAUAAGUAGUAUAUAUAUAGUAUAGAUGGGUAAAGGUGCUUAUUAAUUUAGUAUGAACAAGUUGCAAUAUUAUAGAGCUUAUAUGUUUUCUUCCUUCCGUCUAUAAUGGUAUUGUUCCGACUAUUCUUUUCUCAUGGAACAGGUUAUAUGACGCUAGCUUAUGACAUAUUGUGCUUGCAUUUGUAGUAUCCAGAGAUGAAUGUAACAUGUUCUAAAAUAAGUUGAACAAACAAGUUCUAAAGUAGCUUUCAUGCAAUUUCCUAAACAAUGUAAACAACACACAUGCACAUAAGGGAUAACGUCAUUGCAAACGAGGGUAGUAGAACUUAUUUUUAUAUAUCAUUUUUUAUUUUUUCCGUGGCAAUGCACAUGCAUUCAGCUAAAGUAAAAAUUGUCAGGAUGCACUUCAGUCACAGUUGAGUAGCGGAAUCUUAUUGUAGUAAAAUUGUCUGAACCAUUUCAAUAAAUUGUAGUACAACUUAUUGGAGCGACUGACAUAAUAAAUUCAGGCACAAUUGCAAUAACAAGUGAGUACUGAGUACUGAGUAGCAAAGUGAUUGUUGCCGGUUCAAAUAUCAGAAUGUGUCCUAGCAGCAUAAGACCAUUAAAACGAGUGGUACUGUUAGAGUACGUAAUGGGCCUAAUGAGCCCGUUAGUCUUGGGGUUAAUUAGAGAUAAGGGUCGCUUGCUUAGGGGUCAAGUAAGCCUUGCUUGGGAGUCAAG